rfam:Triticum aestivum genome assembly, contig: Triticum_aestivum_CS42_TGACv1_scaffold_148768_2BS
GUAGUAUUCCCUCCGUCCCAAAAUUCUUGUCUUACAUUUGUUUAGAUACAGAUGUAUCUAACACUAAAAUGUAACUAGAUACAUCCAUAUUUAGACAAAUUUAAGACAAGAAUUUUGGGACGAAGGGGGUACAAA